rnacentral:rRNA from 1 species
GAUGAACGCUGGCGGCGUGCCUAAUACAUGCAAGUCGAGCGAACAGACGAGGAGCUUGCUCCUCUGACGUUAGCGGCGGACGGGUGAGUAACACGUGGAUAACCUACCUAUAAGACUGGGAUAACUUCGGGAAACCGGAGCUAAUACCGGAUAAUAUAUUGAACCGCAUGGUUCAAUAGUGAAAGACGGUUUUGCUGUCACUUAUAGAUGGAUCCGCGCCGCAUUAGCUAGUUGGUAAGGUAACGGCUUACCAAGGCAACGAUGCGUAGCCGACCUGAGAGGGUGAUCGGCCACACUGGAACUGAGACACGGUCCAGACUCCUACGGGAGGCAGCAGUAGGGAAUCUUCCGCAAUGGGCGAAAGCCUUACGGAGCAACGCCGCGUGAGUGAUGAAGGUCUUCGGAUCGUAAAACUCUGUUAUUAGGUAAGAACAAAUGUGUAAGUAACUAUGCACGUCUUGACGGUACCUAAUCAGAAAGCCACGGCUAACUACGUG